rnacentral:tRNA from 1 species
GCAUUGAUGGUUCAGUGGUAGAAUUCUCGCCUUCCAUACAGAAGACCAGGUUCAAGUCCUGGCCAAUGCA